AGAAAGUAUGCUACCUGGUUGCGGUGUAAUCACAUAUUAACACACCAAAGGACUCUCACACAUUUUGGCUGCAAAGGGAAAUACAGUUUACCUACACAUGCCCCAAUCCAUGAAGCACCUUCAAUCCAACCUAUCAACUGAUCUAAUGAUAGUAACAUGACCCAAACUCUGCUUAGCUUCCUCUGAUAUCCACACAGCCUAAGUAGUAGUUAUAGAAUAUAUAUAUAGAAUAUAUAUAUUCCCUUAAGUAAGUUGGAGAGUUUAGUUAGGGUAUAUAUAAUAGUAUAUAUAGUAUAUAUAGUAUAUAUGGUAUAUAUAUACCCUAACUAAACCCUCCAACUUACUUGGAUAUGAACAAUAUAAAUCGGAAACAAUAAACAGACUCUGCUUCAGACUCCCUUGUUCAUAUGGAAUGAGAAAGUAUGCUACCUGGUUGCGGUGUAAUCACAUAUUAACACACCAAAGGACUCUCACACAUUUUGGCUGCAAAGGGAAAUACAGUUUACCUACACAUGCCCCAAUCCAUGAAGCACCUUCAAUCCAACCUAUCAACUGAUCUAAUGAUAGUUACAUCACCCAAAAUCUGCUUAGCUUCCUC
rnacentral:lncRNA from 1 species